CCUCAGAAGGAACCAACCCGCCAACCCCUUGAUCUCAGAUUUCUGGCCUCCAGAACCGCGAGACAGCAGAUUUCCAUGGCUUGAGCCGCCCGGUUUGUAGUACUUCAUUAUGGCAGCUCCAGCAAACAAAUACAGAUUUAUGACCUCGUCUACCCGACGAGGAUGCCUGGCCCAAGCUGGCAUACUAAGAGUUUUCCUGGAACUUGGGAACUGGGACAAAGAGGGACUAAGCCAGCAAGACCGAAAAGCAUGGCAGUCCCAGGACAGCCAUGAAAACCAUAUGUGAAUUAAUGAGUGAGCAGAUUGGAGCAGGCAUUGUUUUGGACCCUAAGGACGUCACGUACAAAAUGCACUUAAAUCCUUGCCUCCUGGAGCUGAUGAUAAAGAAGAUGGACAAGUAAAACAUAUGGAAUGUGAAAUGGUGAUAAGAGUGAUGGAGAAAAUAAAACAGGAGAGGAGGUUGGAAUUGCCAGGCUUCCAAUUUGCAGGCUUCAGAUUCAGCUUCUGUUUCCUGAGUGCCUCCACUAUACCAGCCAUUGGGCCAGGCAUCCAGAAGCCCUAAGGUAGACCUCAUCAUCCCUGUUCUACAGGAGAGGAAAACCAAGACUUGGCUACUACAGUAUACAAAGGGUGUGGAAAAGUCCUCCUAGAACCCUUACCCUGCUUCCAGGAGGAGCUGGACAGUUCUUUCCAAGUCCAGGCAGAAAGAAGUCUCCUCUUUUUCCAUUCUCUUUGUUACUUUAUAUGUCUGUGCAGGCUUGGUU
rnacentral:lncRNA from 10 species